UACGAAGGGGGCUAGCGUUGCUCGGAAUCACUGGGCGUAAAGGGUGCGUAGGCGGGUCUUUAAGUCAGGGGUGAAAUCCUGGAGCUCAACUCCAGAACUGCCUUUGAUACUGAGGAUCUUGAGUUCGGGAGAGGGAUGCGGAAUUCCAGGUGUAGCGGUGAAAUGACGUAGAUAUCGGGAGGAACACCAGUGGCGAAGGCGGCGAUCUGGGAAGAUACUGACGCUGAGGUGCGAAAGCGUGGGGAGCAACAGG
rnacentral:rRNA from 1 species